CAUUCGGACCUAAUGCAAUGAUUGGCUGGCUGACUGUCACUCUCCCUCGCUGCCAUGGCUACCAGCCCUGCUGCUACAGGUGCUGCCUCCAUACGCUCACCCGGUCAGCUCGCUCUCAGACCCGACGAGCGAAGCGGUCAGACAGGUGGGUGAUAUCUGCAUGGCUUUUCAACGAUCGUGACAACUGAGGAACACCAAGGGGCUGAAAAGUUACACCGUGGUGGCUUUAUUUCUGCUGGACAGUCUUCCGACACCCUGUGCUUCUGAUCGGAACAUGCUGGUUGGCCUGGAUUACAACCACCAUGUCCACAGACCAGCCAGGAGAAAAGCUGAUGACACAGUACAGCAAGGUGUAUAACAAAAAGUCCAGGAAGUGGAGCUUGUACUCAUUGAAGGUGGAG